UAAAGCUUUGCAAAUUGAAGAGAUAUUCUGGAAGGAAAAAGGCUAGAAUUAACUGGCAUAACUUUGGGGACAGAAACACUGCUUACUUUCACAAAAUUGCUAAGAUCAAACAUGUUACUAAAGCCAUGUCUUUGAUUAAGUCUGGUGAUGUGCUGCUCACUGAACAUGAUGCUAUAGCCACUCAUGCUCUUGAUUACUACACUAACCUAUUUGCCUCUCCUAAUUUA
rnacentral:lncRNA from 1 species